CAACAGGGAUUGCCCUAGUAACGGCGAGUGAAGCGGCAACAGCUCAAAUUUGAAAUCUGGCUCUUUUAGAGUCCGAGUUGUAAUUUGCAGAGGGCGCUUUGGCUUUGGCAGCGGUCCAAGUUCCUUGGAACAGGACGUCACAGAGGGUGAGAAUCCCGUACGUGGUCGCUAGCUAUUGCCGUGUAAAGCCCCUUCGACGAGUCGAGUUGUUUGGGAAUGCAGCUCUAAAUGGGAGGUAAAUUUCUUCUAAAGCUAAAUACUGGCCAGAGACCGAUAGCGCACAAGUAGAGUGAUCGAAAGAUGAAAAGCACUUUGGAAAGAGAGUCAAACAGCACGUGAAAUUGUUGAAAGGGAAGCGCUUGCAGCCAGACUUGCUUGCAGUUGCUCAUCCGGGCUCUUUUGCCCGGUGCAUUCUUCUGCAGGCAGGCCAGCAUCAGUUUGGGCGGUGGGAUAAAGGUCUCUGUCACGUACCUCUCUUCGGGGAGGCCUUAUAGGGGAGACGACAUACCACCAGCCUGGACUGAGGUCCGCGCAUUUAUGCUAGGAUGCUGGCGUAAUGGCUGUAAGCGGCCCGUCUUGAAACACGGACCAAGGAGUCUAACAUCUAUGCGAGUGUUUGGGUGUCAAGCCCGAACGCGUAAUGAAAGUGAACGGAGGUGGGAACCCGCAAGGGUGCACCAUCGACCGAUCCUGAUGUCUUCGGAAGGAUUUGAGUAAGAGCAUGGCUGUUGGGACCCGAAAGAUGGUGAACUAUGCUUGAAUAGGGUGAAGCCAGAGGAAACUCUGGUGGAGGCUCGCAGCGGUUCUGACGUGCAAAUCGAUCGUCAAAUUUGGGCAUAGGGGCGAAAGACUAAUCGAACUAUCUAGUAGCUGGUUCCUGC
rnacentral:rRNA from 1 species